rnacentral:lncRNA from 1 species
CAUUCCUGUUCCAGAUUCUACCCAACUGGGAAACGGAGGAGCCGAAGACAAGAUGUGAGACAUGGAAACCCACUGACUCAAUGCAGAGGAUUUAAUCUAAAAGCAUACAGAAAUGCAGCUGAAAUUGUCCAGUAUGGAGUAAAAAAUAACACCACUUUUCUGGAGUGUGCCCCCAAGUCUCCGCAGGCAUCUAUCAAGUGGCUGUUACAGAAAGACAAAGACAGGAGGAAAGAGGUGAG